UGAAUAUGCACAUGUGAAUGUCUGUUUUAAUUCACUGCCUGUGAAAAAAGCUUCAGGCGCCGCUCCGAGCUGGCAGCCAGUAUCAGCAGCUCCAGCCUGACAGAGUCCUUUUUUCCCUUUAAUAUUUGUUUCUUUGUUGUUCUUGUGAACCUUGUUUUUGUUUUUCUAUUGUGGACUGUGGACUGAGCUUUUCUUUUGUGGACUGAUCUCCCACAAUGGAGCUCGGAAUUUUAUGGACAAUCGUUUUUGUUAUUGCAUUUGUCACGGCAUCUGUGUCCGGAGAGCGCGUGGAGAUCCAACCUCGCAUUCUUUACAGCAGGGCUCUGUUGUUAGCCAGAAGCUGUUAGCCCUCGGCGCUUCUGCUGUUCUGCCUACCACCGAGCAAGCCAACAUCCCCCACAAGAUACUGGACUACCUCACAGAACGCCCACAGUAUGUGAUGACACAGGGCUGUGUCUCUGAUACACUGUCUACAGUACGGCGGCCUCACAGGGAACUGUGCUGGAUCUGUUCCUCUUCACCUCCUAGACUGCAGACUUCUCCAUUACCUCCCCAUGCUGCCACCAACAGAAGUUCUCUGACAACUCUGCCAUAGUUGUCAUCACCACAGUAACUUUGAUUGCUGCCUCCUCCAGUUCCUUGUCAAAGGGACUCCACAGCUCACUUUGAAUGUAAAGGCUCUUUCCAUCCUCCAGUAACACCUCCAGCUGGUUUGGCAUUUCUGCCGUGGCCACACCAAUGAUGAGAAUGUCAGCUCUCUCCUCGACUUUUGUCUGUUGACACAGCAUAGGCACACAUUUAGCCCAGAAAACGUUGGGCUUCUUUAUCCAACAAGAAAAAAAGAAAACCUAUGGUCAUCACGUGGUUUCACGAAGUCACCAAGACACAUACAUACACACAUUAUGUCUUGAUGCAUGCUCAAUCAUCCAGGGGUUGGAACCAGGGCCGGCUAUUAAAAUGGUCACCACCAGACCAAGGCUCAAUCGAGUCAUGGAAGGAGGAAUCAGGGUAAAGACAAAACUCUGCUUAUAGACGCACACGCCUCGGGGAAACCCGAUCCACGGACCAGACCCGGGACGGAGUUUCUUUCAGUGACCACAGUGCACACGUCUGAUGUCGCUCACAGUGGUCCAAGGAACCGCUCAGGGAGUUUGUGUGUUCGCUCAGACACCUGAAAAAUUAGAGGGAACAUUGGGCCUCUGACAUUCAAUACCCAGUUAUUAAAAUGUUAAGUGUAAAUCAUCCCCAGCCCACAAUAGCAGCUGAAUUUACUACGAUUUCAGAUCUUUUUACACGUCAAUAAG
ensembl:lncRNA